CAUCAUUUUAUGUUUAUUUUAACAUCAUCCAAAAAGGAAAAUUCUGUCUUCUUGGAAAUUUGUAACCCCUGACAUCCAUAGUAGAACAAAACAGUAUUAACAGGUUUGGUAUUAACAAAUCAUUAACUAACACUACUAGCUAAUAAACUGCUAAUUAGCCAUUUAUUAAUAGUUAGUAAGGUAUAAGUUUAUGUUUUGGGUAAGAUUAGGGGUGCAGAAUAAGAUCAUAUUUUAUAACUGAUAUACUUUAUGAACAGUUUAUAUCGGCAGGUAAUGCCAGUAGCAUGAAUUGUAAAGUGUUACCUAAAUACUAUGGAAGUCACUACUCUUAUAAACAUUUUUCAAAAUAUCGUCUUUUGUAUUCUACAGUUGAAACUCAAAAAGGUUUGGACUAAGUAAAGAGUGAGAAAAUGGACAGAAUCUUUAUUUUGGUAAACUAUCGCUUUAGGAAACGUCGUAAAAUUAGAAUUUCUCAGAAUUUCUCAGAAAAAUCAGAAUUUAUAGGGUUUUUGAGCCCUCUAGUGGUUUGUUUUAAGCAAGACAAAAAUACUUGUUCGUUCCGCUUUUUUGGUUCCGUGUGAGUAAACUCGGAUUGUGUGAGCUUUGUGGGCAGAUUCGGGUUGGUGUUUGAUGAUGAUGAUGAUGGCAGCAGAAAGCAAUGAGAGUCCAAAAAUAAACUUUGAUGACAAAACAUCCUCCCGACGACAGAAUGAAAUUAAGAUGGUGAAGCUGAUCAGCCUGCUGAUUCUGGUGAUCCAGAACGCUUCGCUCAUCCUCAGCAUCCGCCUUGUGUGGAAUUUGGUUGAAGAUCAUUUUCUGGGCUCGGCCGCUUUCCUGAUGGCUGAGAUUGUCAAAGUCUUCUCUUGUCUGUUCAUCAUCAUGAUGCAGAAGUCGAGCGAAACUAGUUCUUACGGUAUUGCUUGGGUUGGCAAAACUGUUUCACUGUAAAUACUUGUUUGGAAAACGGCUGCAUGAUACUGGGAAAAUGUGCUGUAUUACAAUAUGCAUAAAACAAACAAAUCUUUAGCAAAUGUUCAUGUAAAGCUUCCCAAUUAGGCCAAUUAACAUCCAAUCACUGACAAUCAGACUCUAUUUAAAAUCUGAUUGUAAUGCAAUAAUGUGUAACUUUUGUAAAGCUGCUAUAUAUAAUUGUUUGAAAGCGCUAUACAAAUAAACUUGAAUAUAUGGAACAAUGCCAAAUAUGAUAAGGACAUUUACAUGAUAUUAUUUACAUUUACAAGACAUUUAGUUUAACAUAGUUCUUUAAAGCUUUUCAAAAAAAAAAAAAAGUUUAAGAAACGUGUAUGUAUACAACUAGGGUUUGCCUGUUUUUGGCACAUUGUUUAAAAUAUGUGGCUAAGAGAUAACUAAUUGUUUUUUUUUGUUUUUUGAAGAGGCAAGUAAUAAUCUAAACCAGUGGUUCCCAAAGUGGGUAUCGCGGAACAAUGACAGGGGGUAGCCAGGUGAUUUCCAAAAGUCAAAUAAAUUUUAUUAAACUAUUAGAAUGACCAUAUUUUAUCCAUAACCCACAGUAGAUAAAAUAGUAGCUAAUAAUUACAUAAAAAAGCAACAACAUGCAAAUAAAAAGCCAUCAGCCUUUACAUGUUUUAUCACAGGAUCCUGUAUUAGAUUAGAUUGUACGUUAGAUCAACAACACAGACUAAUUUUAUAGCACCAGGUUAAACUUUCUGACUCCUUUAUGGUAAUCAAAUACAUUGACAAUGCAGGCCACAACCGAACAUUGAGGACGAUCUCCAAA